rnacentral:misc_RNA from 1 species
GGAAUUACUUCCCCGGGUCCACAUUGUUUCUUAUUAGUACUUGGACUCAGUCGAUUUACACAAGAGGAGGAAGAAAGCAUCGACCACUUUGUCAACUAUUUUGGAAGACAUGUGUUUCGUUAUUUUAUCGUUCUCUUCACACGAAAAGAUGAUCUUGAUCACCAUGGAAAGACACUGGACGAUCACAUACGGACGGUUCCGACCAGUCUUAAGAAAAUCCUUGGUCAAUGCGAUGAUCGUUGUAUUGCGUUUAACAAUCGGGCCCCGAGUCCCGCUCGGCACGAUCAAGUUGAGGAUCUUCUUGAGAUGAUUGACGGAAUCGUCCGUCAAAAUAAUGGAGAAUAUUACACGAAUGAAAUGUACUCGGAAGCUGAAAAAGUAAUGAAACAUCGUCAAUACCAAAUCGAAAAAGAAAGAGAAAGAAAACAUGAAAGGGAAAGAAAAGAAAUUGAACGCGAUGUGGAAAAAAAGUACAAGACCCACUACCAAAGUCAAAAUGCCUUAGAACAAAGAGUAGCAGAACUUGAAUCAAUGCGCGAUCACUACGCAAGCCGAUCGACUGCUCUUGAGAAAGAAGUCCGGGAGCUAGAGGAACAGAUAGACUACGAAAAGAGACAGUAUGGAUCCCCAAGCUCGAAACUUGUGACAAAACUCAGACAUCUGCAAGAAGAAGGAACAAGACUGGGUUCUGGGAGAGGGUCAGAGAAAGAUAAAGAGAUUGAAGAGCUGCGGCAUCAGCUUAAGCAUAUGCAGAAAGAGACGAAGAAAAUCAGUAAGGAGAAAGAUAGGCUGUAUCAAGAGAGGCGUGAGGAGCUUGAUAAAAGAUACAGCGAGCUUGAACAUGGCCGUCACCAAGCGAUAAAGGAAGUGGAGACCGGAAGCGGAAAUGUUGGCGAAGCCUUGAUUGGUGGUAUCAUGACCAUAGGAAAGCUCGCGUGGAAAGGAAUACAAAUGUUCUUUUGAGAAAAGAAUUUAAUCUUUUCUUUUAUGUACUAGUUUUAAUAUCAUGAUUAACAUAUACUUUAUAAUUGUCUCCCGUGUAUAAAUUAAACAUUUUGUUUUGAUUGGACGGAGAAAACGUGAUUUUUACCAUUUGUGAACAAAAAGGGGCGAUCCCGAACAUCACGUCAGGUAUUAUCUUAAACGAAACUUGUUCAAAUGUAUAACUAUAUAGUAUGUUUUUUUAUUGAGUGUUUUAAACUGUGACAUUUAAGUAUAUUAUACGUAACUUAAAGAAACAAAUUGAUAAAAUGGAAACGUUACAAUUUAUAGCAUUCUAAAAUGAUAGACUAGAACCUAGACACCUUACAAGAAAUGAAGCGAUAAAGAGCAGUGUUCAGGAUCAAAAGUCUAAAGGAAAAAUACGAAACAGGAGCAUAGCAAACACGCGUCCCUACAACAAUUAGAGGUAGGAUCAGGUGCCAUGGAGGAGUGAGCAUCCUCUGCUGACCGGUCGCAUUCGACGUGCGCUCUUUGUCGAAAUCGGAAAAAACGUGCAAAUCUCUAGAAAUGUCGGUGUCCUAACAAUAAGUAUGAAAACGCCAGUCAGCAUUUGAACUAUCAGAAGAUUGUAUUUGCUGACAAGGUUGUCGUAUCGACCAUAGAAUUUUCAGAAUGAUGACUGCAAUGAAGACUGUCGAUACUCUUCUCUAUCAUCUUACUCAGCGAGGACACAUGUAAAAGUACAUUGCAUUUCAUGUUACAUGUAAAUGGGUUGAUGUCAUUUCACUUGUUGAAUUAUGUUGUUUGUAAAUAUUUGAUUAAAAA